UAGCCCUUUUCCUUUCCCCACCCACCUGGCUUCCCCUAUCACCUUCUAGCUUUCCUCCUUCUCCUCCCCCACCACUUUUUAUUCUGCCAUCUUUCUCCUUCCUUCUCAGUCCAGAAAAAUGGUCUUGACCUGAAACGUCGACUGUUUAUUCAUUCCUCCAGCAUUUAAUGUGUGCUGCUUUAGAUUACCAGCAACUGCAGAACUUCUUAUAUUUAGAAGAAAAGAACCAGCAUGGCGUUGGGCCUUCUGGCCUGUCUGGUGCACCGGCCAGCAACCCCUGACAACCCUAAUGGAGUCAUGGGGGAAUUUACAAUGAGCAACUAACCUAUCUGGUACUUCUUCGGACAGUGGGAGGAAACCGAAGCACCCGGAGAAAACCCAUGCUUUCUGUUCACUUACAAGGGAAAUACCAGCACCAAAUAGCAGCCAUCUACUGUAAGAGAUCAUGAAAACAGGCCAUUUAUAAAAAGCCAUCCAGACAGGACCUCAAACUCUUCUGUGGCCCAUAUUCCUCAUGGGAUGCCUGCAGUCUCAGAUCGCCAGAUUCAUCCAUCUUGUGAGGAUGUUAUGGUAAAGGUAAAAUUGGCAAGUCAACAUCAGAUCCAGCACAAUUCAGCUCAUUGACUAUGCACUCCGCUUCUGACCAAUGAAUAGAGGAAUGGAUUCAAGAUAUUGCUAAACAGAAACUAGAUAAAGUAACAUUCAAGAGACUUUGCCAAAUAAUAUUGUGUCCCUAAUCCAAAUAGAAGCCCAAAAUUUGGAUGAAUGUUGAAAAUACAGCUGACACUUGUUGGAAUUUUAUUGCAUUAAUCAAGUACAAUUUACACUGUCUGAAAAUAAUGACAUGCAGUCUCUGAGUCAACGUGAGUCAUUCCACCAACUCCCUGGUCUCCACUGUUGCCUGUGGAAUUCCCUUCUGGAAAUGACAGUGGGGGCUAAAGGCACUAAAUUAAAUGGUAGGGCUGUUAUAGGUUAUCCAACAUAUUUUCCAUCAUCAACACCUUUGCAAAUUCAGCACAUAAGAGCCUUUUGCCCUCUUCAUUCGACAGGUUGCUUAUUAGCUUCAAACACUGCGCACAUGUUCCUGGCUGUAAGUAUACCUAAUGCAGCAGAGGUGGAAUGGAGUACCAAAGGGAACUACAGACCAGCACUACUGAUUACAGAAUGAUUAAUUGCUCUGUAGUAAUCAGCAGAAUAUAAACAAUUUCUGAAAAGAUAGUUGGUGUUUAACUUGAACAAGAUGGUGCCCAGAUGAUUUCCACUACUUAGACUUAGAUCCAUCAGAAGGCAGCAAUGACAAACCACUUCUGCAGAAAAAAAUUGCAAAGAACAAUCAUGGUCAAAGAUCAUGAUUGCCCACGUCAUGCCGUAGCACCCACAUAGGUAGUGGUUAGCAUGCUGCUAUUACAGCUCAUUCCGGACUCCAGAGUUCAAUUUCAGCGGCCUUUGUAAGGAGUCUCUGUGCCUUCUCCCCGUGGAAUGCAUGGGUUUUUCUCGAGUGCUCCAGUUUCCUCCCACAGUCUAAAGAUGUACCGGGUAGGUUAGUUAGAUAUUGUAAAUUGUCUCCAUGAUUAGGCGAGGGUUAAUCGGGCUUCGCAGGGGUUGCUGGGGUAGUGUGUCUCAAAAGGCCAGCAGGGCCUACUCCAUGGUGUAUCGCUAAAGUAAAAUCAAUUUUUAAAAAAUGAUGAUGAUGGAUCUGCCUUAACAUGAUGGUAAUGGCCAUCAGAAGAAUCUAUGCUUGUAAUCAGUCUAAUC